rnacentral:tRNA from 1 species
GAUAGUUCAGCUGGAUAGAACGUUAGCCUCCGGAGCUAAAGGUCGAGGGUUCGAAUCCCUCUCG